UUUAAUAUGGCAGAUUAGUGCAUUAGAUUUAAACUCUAAUUAUAAAAUUUUUAUUUUUAUUAAAA
rnacentral:tRNA from 1 species